rnacentral:rRNA from 1 species
GACGAACGCUGGCGGCGUGCUUAACACAUGCAAGUCGAACGGUAAGGCCCUUCGGGGUACACGAGUGGCGAACGGGUGAGUAACACGUGGGUGAUCCGCCCUGCACUUCGGGAUAAGCCUGGGAAACUGGGUCUAAUACCGGAUAGGACCCUGGGAUGCAUGUCCUGGGGUGGAAAGCUUUUGCGGUGUGGGAUGGGCCCGCGGCCUAUCAGGUUGUUGGUGGGGUGCUGGCCUACCAAGGGGACGCCGGGUAGCCGGCCUGAGAGGGUGACCGGCCACACUGGGACUUAGAUACGGCCCAGACUCCUACGGGAGGCAGCAGUGGGGAAUAUUGCACAAUGGGCGCAAGCCUGAUGCAGCGACGCCGCGUGAGGGAUGACGGCCUUCGGGUUGUAAACCUCUUUCAGCACCGACGAAGCGCAAGUGACGGUAGGUGCAGAAGAAGGACCGGCCAACUACGUGCCAGCCGCCGCAGUAA